UACGUAGGGGGCCAGCGUUGUUCGGAAUUACUGGGUGUAAAGGGUUCGUAGGCGGUGCGGCAAGUUGGGAGUGAAAUCUCUGGGCUCAACCCAGAGACGGCUUCCAAAACUGCCGUGCUUGAGUGUGAGAGAGGCUCGUGGAAUUGCAGGUGUAGCGGUGAAAUGCGUAGAUAUCUGCAGGAACACCCGUGGCGAAAGCGGCGAGCUGGAUCACUACUGACGCUGAGGAGCGAAAGCCAGGGGAGCAAACGGG
rnacentral:rRNA from 1 species